ensembl:lncRNA
AAGUCUCUGGAAGCUCACUGAGCACCAAGGAUCAUUGUUUUCUUAAUCAGAGUUUGAAGGGUAGAAGCUGUUAUCCAGGACUGUUUACACCAGCAAGCCAUCAGAAAUCUACUGGGCACUAGUUCCAUCUCAAAAGCUAACAGAAUUUUGGAAAGCAGUCAAGUCUGUGAAGUUAGAGUUCGGUGGGUGUUUUGAUGUGCCAGUGCCUACUGGUCUGCCAUGAAGAAUAAUAACAACAUUUACGACUAAAAGUAAAUUUAGUGCUUGUGUCACACCAACAUUGGAUAAAAGUGCUAACACUCAAUAAUUACCUUGUUGCUAACUUGGCCUUGAUAAGAAAGCAUUCUUUUUAAAAGUACAUGACUGGUCAUGUAAUUUUGUAGACGAGUAGUUCAUUAAGAAACAAAAAAGCAAAUCUAGUGAAUCUGAGUUAAAGACAAUGACUUAGUAAAAGCUCUGAUGAACUAUGAAAGAUAACGUUGGGUGGCACAGAUUUCCUUCCCUCCCUCCCCUCUCCCAUCCCUGAUAUCUGAGAGUCAUUAAAGUGCAUAUAAUAGGGUUAUUGUGUUGAUUAGUUGCUCAGUUGUGUCUGACUCUUUGCGGCCCCUUGGACUGUAGGCUCCUCUCUCCACGGGAUUUCCCAGACAAGAAUACUGCAGUAGGUUGCCAUUUCUUCCUCCAGGGGAUCUUUCUGACUCAGGAUUGAACUUAGGUCUCCUACGUCUCCUGUAUUGUAGGCGAAUUCUUCACCACUGUGUCACCUGGGAAGCCUUGUAAUAUGCUUAUAUGCCUUCCUUAAAAAUGAUGUCUAUUAAGCAUGCUUACCCUUUGCAUAGAAAGAGAUAGUUCAAGGUUAUGCUAAAUAAAAUAUUAUAUGUGCCAUUUAUAUGAAAAGUUGCCUAAGGCAAAAAAUGUGGAAUAUGUUUAUCUAUCCUUCUGCUUUGUGUCCCAGAUUUAGCACCAAUAUGUGCCCUGAAUUGGAUUAAGCCUUCAGAAUAUUUUCAAAAGGACCCUCAAAAGAUGGACUCUAGCAUCAAAGGUCUUUUUCUUUUUUUAAAAAAAUUUUUUGUUGCACCACACGGCAUGUGGGAAUCUUAGUUGCCCAACCAGGGAUGGAACCCAUGCCCUCUGCAUUAGAAGCAUGGACUCUUAACCACUGGACCUCUAGGG